rnacentral:rRNA from 1 species
UGGGGAAUUUUGGACAAUGGGCGAAAGCCUGAUCCAGCAAUGCCGCGUGUGUGAAGAAGGCCUUCGGGUUGUAAAGCACUUUUGUCCGGAAAAAAUCCUCUGGGUUAAUACCUCGGGGGAUGACGGUACCGGAAGAAUAAGCACCGGCUAACUACGUGCCAGCAGCCGCGGUAAUACGUAGGGUGCAAGCGUUAAUCGGAAUUACUGGGGCGUAAAGCGUGCGCAGGCGGUUUUGUAAGACGGAUGUGAAAUCCCCGGGCUUAACCUGGGAACUGCAUUCGUGACUGCAAGGCUAGAGUAUGGCAGAGGGGGGUAGAAUUCCACGUGUGAGCAGUGAAAUGCGUAGAGAUGUGGAGGAAUACCGAUGGCGAAGGCAGCCCCUGGGCCAAUACUGACGCUCAUGCACGAAAGCGUGGGGA